CUUGCUUUCUUUGCUGGCGACCGGCGCACGGGUGAGUAACACGUAUCCAACCUACCCUUUACUCGGGGAUAGCCUUUCGAAAGAAAGAUUAAUACCCGAUAGCAUAGUUCUUCCGCAUGGUGGAACUAUUAAAGAAUUUCGGUCAUCGAUGGGGAUGCGUUCCAUUAGGUUGUUGGCGGGGUAACGGCCCACCAAGCCUUCGAUGGAUAGGGGUUCUGAGAGGAAGGUCCCCCACAUUGGAACUGAGACACGGUCCAAACUCCUACGGGAGGCAGCAUG
rnacentral:rRNA from 1 species